rnacentral:rRNA from 1 species
AGUCGUACGCUUCUUUUUCCCCGGAGCUUGCUCCACCGGAAAAAGAAGAGUGGCGAACGGGUGAGUAACACGUGGGUAACCUGCCCAUCAGAAGGGGAUAACACUUGGAAACAGGUGCUAAUACCGUAUAACAAUCGAAACCGCAUGGUUUUGAUUUGAAAGGCGCUUUCGGGUGUCGCUGAUGGAUGGACCCGCGGUGCAUUAGCUAGUUGGUGAGGUAACGGCUCACCAAGGCCACGAUGCAUAGCCGACCUGAGAGGGUGAUCGGCCACAUUGGGACUGAGACACGGCCCAAACUCCUACGGGAGGCAGCAGUAGGGAAUCUUCGGCAAUGGACGAAAGUCUGACCGAGCAACGCCGCGUGAGUGAAGAAGGUUUUCGGAUCGUAAAACUCUGUUGUUAGAGAAGAACAAGGAUGAGAGUAACUGUUCAUCCCUUGACGGUAUCUAACCAGAAAGCCACGGCUAACUACGUGCCAGCAGCCGCGGUAAUACGUAGGUGGCAAGCGUUGUCCGGAUUUAUUGGGCGUAAAGCGAGCGCAGGCGGUUUCUUAAGUCUGAUGUGAAAGCCCCCGGCUCAACCGGGGAGGGUCAUUGGAAACUGGGAGACUUGAGUGCAGAAGAGGAGAGUGGAAUUCCAUGUGUAGCGGUGAAAUGCGUAGAUAUAUGGAGGAACACCAGUGGCGAAGGCGGCUCUCUGGUCUGUAACUGACGCUGAGGCUCGAAAGCGUGGGGAGCAAACAGGAUUAGAUACCCUGGUAGUCCACGCCGUAAACGAUGAGUGCUAAGUGUUGGAGGGUUUCCGCCCUUCAGUGCUGCAGCUAACGCAUUAAGCACUCCGCCUGGGGAGUACGACCGCAAGGUUGAAACUCAAAGGAAUUGACGGGGGCCCGCACAAGCGGUGGAGCAUGUGGUUUAAUUCGAAGCAACGCGAAGAACCUUACCAGGUCUUGACAUCCUUUGACCACUCUAGAGAUAGAGCUUCCCCUUCGGGGGCAAAGUGACAGGUGGUGCAUGGUUGUCGUCAGCUCGUGUCGUGAGAUGUUGGGUUAAGUCCCGCAACGAGCGCAACCCUUAUUGUUAGUUGCCAUCAUUUAGUUGGGCACUCUAGCAAGACUGCCGGUGACAAACCGGAGGAAGGUGGGGAUGACGUCAAAUCAUCAUGCCCCUUAUGACCUGGGCUACACACGUGCUACAAUGGGAAGUACAACGAGUCGCGAAGUCGCGAGGCUAAGCUAAUCUCUUAAAGCUUCUCUCAGUUCGGAUUGUAGGCUGCAACUCGCCUACAUGAAGCCGGAAUCGCUAGUAAUCGCGGAUCAGCACGCCGCGGUGAAUACGUUCCCGGGCCUUGUACACACCGCCCGUCACACCACGAGAGUUUGUAACACCCGAAGUCGGUGAG